UGGGGAAUAUUGGGGCAAUGGGGCGCAAGCCUGACCCAGCAACGCCGCGUGAAGGAAGAAGGCUUUCGGGUUGUAAACUUCCUUUGUCGGGGACGAGGAGAAGACGGUACCUGACGAAUAAGCCACGGCUAACUACGUGCCAGCAGCCGCGGUAAUACGUAGGUGCAAGCGUUGUCCGGAUUUACUGGGUGUAAAGGGCGUGUAGGCGGAGGAGCAAGUCAGAUGUGAAAUCCCGGGGCUUAACCCCGGAACUGCAUUUGAAACUGUUCCCCUUGAGUAUCGGAGAGGCAAGCGGAAUUCCUAGUGUAGCGGUGAAAUGCGUAGAUAUUAGGAGGAACACCAGUGGCGAAGGCGGCUUGCUGGACGACAACUGACGCUGAGGCGCGAAAGCGUGGGGAGCAAACAGGAUUAGAUACCCUGGUAGU
rnacentral:rRNA from 1 species